UCUCUCGCCAUCACAGCGUGGUUGCAGCCCCGAAGCCACAUUGUUUGCACUCAGCAUCCACCCAGGAUUGUUUGUUCCCUUCCUUGCAAGGCAUUGGGUAUUCGGUGCUCUAGUCAAGCCAUGGGUUCUCCCUCCCCGCUCUCUCGCUCCCCCCGACGUGGAAUUCUUGUCAGAGUCUUUUCAGAGUGGUUCUCCAAAGCUCCGAGGACUUCCUGAAUUAUAAGAAUUUGCCAGACCCAAGCUGCAGUGAAGAUGCCAGUCUGUCUGCUGUAAGGAGGAUUGAUUUUGGGGUAUCUCUGAAGCUUUUUGUUUUAUUCUACUCAGAGUCAAGAGAACCUCUCUUGAGGACAGUGAAAUAUGCCCUGGCACAUUUCUCCUGAGCACAUGUUUAUAUUUCAGCAUGAAAGAGCCCCCUAAGCAUGCUAAGAAUUUAUCCAGCGAAGGUUGCAAUUUCUCAAGUCCCUUAUAAAGUCAUUAUGGUUGAUUUGACCUCUGGGAUAAUACACAUCUCACAGUGCAGAAGAAUAUCAGUGUACACAUUUUUUGAUCAUGGCAGAACUCUAUUUAGACAUAAUUACUGAUGUGUAUGAGGGCAUGUUUUCAUAGCUUUAUUUCUCUCUUAGAUAAUAGGACCUGUGCCCUUCAAAAAGUCAUAGCACCUUGGGAGGUGCUAUUUUAGUUACAUAGUAGAGAUUCUCUUGUUCCCACUCUUAAUUCGUCACCAGAAGAGGUGAGGCUUUGUUUUCUCGUGUGUUUAAUUAUUUCACCCUUCACAAUGUAAGGAAAUCUUCUGGGAAAAUACCACAUACUUUUCAACUUUUUAGACCAAAAACAUUCCAUGUAAUUUGAUGCCUUUUUUGGGGGGGGAUGACUCAAGGGUCAUUCAUUACUGACUACAGCUUUUCCCAAAUUGGUGUCAGCAGAACAGUUAUCCACUGCAUAUCAAUAGGUAUCUAAGAAAAACAAUGCUCUGUGAUUAAAUAAAUUGAGUAAAUACUGGGUAAAUAAAAUAAGUCUCUUUCUUUUCUUUUUCUUUUUUUUUGCAGAUCCACUUAGAGCCUUUAUCCUGUUCAUGUAUAUUUUAGGUUUCCAAGGAGAGUUAGAGAAUGGAGUUUUUCUCAGAUAUAAGGGUCCAGAGAACCCCCUUUGUGUUAGAUUGUUAUAGUUCCUGAAGAAAAAUCUUUAGAAAAUUUGGGGAAAAUGCUGCUUUAGUGUGAUAAGUCUCUAGGGCUAUCUAUAUAUACGGAGUUAUUUGCCUCUAUAUUGAGUAACUGCAACAGCUGCUGAAUUUUUUGGUCCGCUUUUAAAAUACCAUUUCUGUGCCUUCUUCGUUUUUACCAUUUCCGGUUGUCACUCUGAGUGUUUUGGCCUCUCCUAAAGGCCUGAUACCCUCCCCUCACCCCACCUCCGUUAUGAUUGGCACCCGUAUAAUUGAUUAUUCAGAUCAGAAUACUUUUGGGGAAGUGAAAAGGAGCUGUUCAUACUUAUUCAGGGACAAAAGCUAUAAGCUCUGACUCUCCAGGGCAAACCAAGAUUGUUAUGGCUAACACAAAAUCAAAACAAAUCAACCUAAUUAAACAAGAGAGGGGUUUUAUCGGCUCAUGUAGCUGGAAAAUCUCAGCGGCGUGUGGUGUGGCUCGGGUCAGAGUUCUGGCUUUGUUUUCCAGGCUCCACGUGUAGGGUUUACCCGUGCACCCGUCUGCAUCACGGUGCGAAGUAAUCGUGGUGUUCUCAGGUUGUGCAUCUGGUCAUCCGCUGCACCGUUUGCCGUCAGAGAAGAGGCGCGUCUUUGCCCAGAAUUCUUAGUAGAAAUCCCGAGCUUUGUGCUGAUUGAACAAACUCCUCAGCCAAGCCCCAGGAACUCCAAGUGCUUAUGGGUAUGGAUGUGAGGCAGCAGUUAGCGUGGAAGGAGAUGGGAAACUCUGAGAUUGCCAUGGUUUUCAGAGACUAUCCCUGGAGGUGGGACUCCAUCCUAUCUGGUGAGAAUGGCUACUAACAUUGGAGGCGGGGUGGAAUGGAUGUUGGGGAGAGGUGUUGUCUGCUAUACAUUGCGCCUUAGUAGUUCCCCCAAUCCUGUGAGAGAUUUGGUGACCUAUUAGCAUUUUGUGUAAACUAGUAAGAAGGCUCCAAAGGCCCUCCUGUAACGAAUGUGCAUGAACACUGAGUUUGUCACAUGUGUUUGGACGGUGCAGAGGCUUUUUUGCUUUCUUUCUAAUUCUCAGUUGUUUUCCAGGUACUUGAGGCCAAAUAGCAGAGCUGUAGAUAGAUGGAUAAGCAAUGAGAUCCUGCUGUAUAGCACUGGGAACUAUAUCUAGUCACUUAUGAUGGAGCACGAUGGAGGAUAAUGGGAGAAAAAGAAUGUAUCACUUUGCUGUAUAGUAGAAAAUUGACAUAAC
rnacentral:lncRNA from 1 species